UACGUAGGGUGCAAGCGUUAAUCGGAAUUACUGGGCGUAAAGCGUGCGCAGGCGGUUAUAUAAGACAGUUGUGAAAGCCCCGGGCUUAACUUGGGAAUUGCGCUCGAAACUACGUGGCUGGAGUGUGGCAGAGGAAGGUGGAAUUCCAGGUGUAGCGGUGAAAUGCGUAGAGAUCUGGAGGAACACCGAUGGCGAAGGCAGCCUUCUGGGCCAACACUGACGCUCAUGCACGAAAGCGUGGGGAGCAAACAGG
rnacentral:rRNA from 1 species